AGGGAUAUGGCUCAGUGGCACAGUGCCUGCCUGGCAAGCAUGUAGUCCUGAGUUUGAUUCCAGUAUCCCAA
rnacentral:tRNA from 1 species